rnacentral:tRNA from 1 species
AGGGCAGUAUUAGGGAGAUCGCGGAAGAUCCUCAAAGGACUCAUAAUCCGUCGGCCGUGGGUUCGAGUCCCACCCGCCCCACCA